rnacentral:lncRNA from 1 species
GAAGAUGGCAGAUCGAAGAUUUUUAGAGAGAGACUGGAGAUGAGAGAGAGAUCGAUGGGAGGGGAAGGCCGCAACAGCGGCGACGGGUCAUGUAGGCGGUGGAGCUGCAGCGACGGUGGUGCUAUUUUCUCCGACGAGUUACUCCGGUGACCAGUUUCACGGCGGGGGUGCUUUAUUUUUCGACAAAGUUAUAUGAUUAUGUUGUAGUAUCGGCUCAGUUUCGGGCUAUUCACACUCAAAAUGUUCG